AUACCACCUCACACCUGUUAGAAUGGCUAUCACCAAAAAGUCUACAAAUAACAAAUGUUGGUGAGGGUGUGGAGGAAAGGGAACCCUAGUACACUGUCAGUGUGAGAUUGUGAAUUGACGGAGCCACUGUGGAAAACAGCAUGCAGGUUUCUCAAAAAAACUAAAAAUAGAAGUACCAUAUGAUCCAGCAAUUCCACUCCUGGAUACAGGUGACCAUGUCCUUUAGAGAAGAAACACAUCAAGAACUUGGGUCCUGGAUGAUUGUGCUGAACACCUGAAUUAAGCAGUGCUGAUUAAGCCACCUCUUUUGGAUUUCUUUUAAUGUGAGUUAAUAAGUUUUAAUUUUGAUUAAAUUGCUUCUAGUUGAGUUUUCUGUUGCACCUAACAAAUGCAAAUAGUUAAUAGUGCAUUAUAUUUUUGAGUAUUUACCUUUUAAACACUCUAUUUAAAGUAAUACUUUUAAUCAUCUGGAUACUCUGAAAGGUAAUUAUUACUACUUUUGUUACGUUGAUUCAUUUUUUGUUUUUAGAUUCCACAUGUAAGUGAAAACAUACAGUAUUAGUCUUUCCUUAUCUCACUUCACUAAGCAUAA